rnacentral:ncRNA from 1 species
CUAACAUUUGUGCGAGUACGCGGGAGGAAACACUGUAUCCACAGUGAAAGAGAGGGUAGGGAGAGAUUUGCCUCCGGGAAUUUUCGCACCUGCGACCGAUCACGAACUCUAUGAAAGGUUUGAGUUGUAGCACAUUUGUCAGGAUCCGGAAGACGGUGAACUAUGCCUGAGUAGGGUGAAGUCAGGCGAAAGCCUGAUGGAGGCUCGUAGCUAUAUUGACGUGCAAAUCGUUCGUCAAACUUGGGAAUAGGGACAAAAGACUAGUUGGACCGUCCAGUAGCUGGUUUCCUGCGAAGUUUUGCUUCAGGAUAGCUGGAGUUCAAUUAGUUUCGUUAGGUAAAGCGAAUGGUUAGAGGCCUCUAGGGCGCAUCAGGCAAGAUCCAGUGGUUACUUCAUUGAACUGCUGGGAUUAGUAUGAACUACAAGUGGGAAAAUUUUGGAGAGCAAAGCUGGCGAUGAGGGAUACUCCUAACGCUGGUUAAGAUGCGGUGCAUACAUACUCUCUCAUCAGACAGCAAAAACGGUGUUGAACAGUGGAAGCCAAAAUCCGCUAAGGAGUUUGUAGCAACGUACCUGCUGAAUGGACCAGCCCUGAAAAUAGAUGGCGCUGCAGCGGGUUGCCGGUACCAGGCCAUUAUCUCAUGUUCUGAGCGCCCGACAUUUUGAGGUAAUGAGUAGGAAGACCUGGGGGUCGUAGCGAAGCGUUUGGCUUGAUCCACCUACAUGG